UACAGAGGUCUCGAGCGUUAGGCGGAAUCACUGGGCUUAAAGCGUGUGUAGGUGGAUUGUUAAGUACCUUGUGAAAUCCCACGGCUUAACCGUGGAACUGCUUGGUAUACUGGCGGUCUUGAGCCACUUAGGGGCUACCGGAACAAAUGGUGGAGCGGUGAAAUGCGUAGAUAUCAUUUGGAACGCCAAUGGUGAAAACAGGUAGCUGGGAGUGUGCUGACACUGAGACACGAAAGCCAGGGGAGCAAACGGG
rnacentral:rRNA from 1 species